GUGAGGAAUAUUGGACAAUGGAUGGAAAUCUGAUCCAGCCAUGCCGCGUGCAGGAAGACGGCCCUAUGGGUUGUAAACUGCUUUUAUACGGGAGCAAUAAGGUCUAUGCAUAGAUUGAUGAGAGUACCGUAUGAAUAAGCAUCGGCUAACUCCGUGCCAGCAGCCGCGGUAAUACGGAGGAUGCGAGCGUUAUCCGAAUUUAUUGGGUUUAAAGGGUGCGUAGGCGGCUUUGUAAGUCAGCGGUGAAAUUUUGCAGCUUAACUGUAAAAGCGCCGUUGAUACUGUGAAGCUAGGAUUUGGUUGCUGUGGGCGGAAUGUGUGGUGUAGCGGUGAAAUGCAUAGAGAUCACACAGAAUAUCGAUUGCGAAGGCAGCUCACAAAGCCAAUAUUGACGCUGAGGCACGAAAGUGUGGGGAUCAAACAGGAUUAGAAACCCCGGUAGUCC
rnacentral:rRNA from 1 species